rnacentral:rRNA from 1 species
GACGAACGCUGGCGGCGUGCUUAACACAUGCAAGUCGAACGAAGUGGCGAACGGGUGAGUAACGCGUAAUCAACCUGCCCUUCAGGGGGGGACAACAGUUGGAAACGACUGCUAAUACCGCAUACUGAAGGAGGGGAUUGCGUCUGAUUAGCUAGUUGGAGGGGUAACGGCCGACCAAGGCGAUGAUCAGUAGCCGGUCUGGGAGGAUGAACGACAACAUUGGGACUGGGACAAGGGCCAGACUCCUACGGGAGGCAGGAGGGGGGAAUCUUCCGCAAUGGACGAAAGUCUGACGGAGCAACGCCGCGUGAGGGAGGACGGCCUUCGGGGUGGAAAGCUCUGUUAAUCGGGACGCGGUACCGGAAGAGAAAGCCACGGCUAACUACGUGCCAGCAGCCGCGGUAAUUC